rnacentral:rRNA from 1 species
GAUGAACGCUGGCGGCGUGCCUAAUACAUGCAAGUCGAGCGAACAGACGAGGAGCUUGCUCCUCUGACGUUAGCGGCGGACGGGUGAGUAACACGUGGAUAACCUACCUAUAAGACUGGGAUAACUUCGGGAAACCUGAGCUAAUACCGGAUAAUAUAUUGAACCGCAUGGUUCAAUAGUUAAAGACGGUUUUGCUGUCACUUAUAGAUGGAUCCGCGCCGCAUUAGCUAGUUGGUAAGGUAACGGCUUACCAAGGCAACGAUGCGUAGCCGACCUGAGAGGGUGAUCAGCCACACUGGAACUGAGACACGGUCCAGACUCCUACGGGAGGCAGCAGUAGGGAAUCUUCCGCAAUGGGCGAAAGCCUGACGGAGCAACGCCGCGUGAGUGAUGAAGGUCUUCGGAUCGUAAAACUCUGUUAUUAGGGAAGAACAAAUGUGUAAGUAACCAUGCACGUCUUGACGGUACCUAAUCAGAAAGCCACGGCUAACUACGUG